GACACAGUAGUUUAGUGGUUAAACUUCCGACCCAUCUGCAAGGUCCGGGGUUCAAAUCCCCGAGAGUGGCA